UGGUGUGAACCCUGGAGGCGGAGCUUGUAGUGAGCCAAGAUAGCGCCACUGCACUCCAGCCUGGGCGACAGAAUGAGACUCCGUCUCAAAAAACAACAACAACAACAACAAAAAAAAACACCACCAGAGAUGACUUAAUCCAGGGUUUUUAUUUUAAAGACAGCAGAACUGAAUGUAAUGGCCAGGCUCAAGUUAUCAGACAGAUAGAAUACCUGGCUUUUUCAUGUAAGUGUGAUCACUGGUGAAUUGUUUAACUUCUGUUAACUCAAGCUUUUCCCCAUGUACAGCAGAGACAGUAAUGAUUGUGGUGAUGCUGUGGAAAUUACAUUAAGGAAAGUAUGAAACAUUCAGCACAGCUCCCAGAGUGUCCGUAUUGCUAUCAAAAGCCAGCUCCUUCUCUCCCCACACUGCCUUCAGGACGGCAGAGCCAAGGAGAGAGCCCCUCUCAGCAUGCGUGUUCUUCUCCAUGGUGGAUUUUAAUUCACUUUGGCGUAUACUUACAGUUGAUAUUCUCCUACUUGGUGUUCUGUUUUACUUUGUUUUUUCUUUUGGAGCUAUUUACUCUUCUCAAUCUUCCUACAUAACCAUGCUGUCUUUGAGGCAGAAGAUGGUUCUUUUUCCCAUGAUGAGUUCUUUUCCCAUGUCCCUGGAGAGGCAGGUUUCCUCCAGCCCAGGACACUCGUACCACAAGGUUGGCAGGUGGCACCCUGGAUGACCAGCCCUUUGGGCAGCAUCUCUUUCAUAUUCACUGGCUGCAGUUUCCUAAAAUGCCAACAUUCAUAUUCCUCGUGAAGUGUAUGACAAGCCAUUUCCCAUUGAGUUAAAAUGUAAUUGCAUCUGGAAGGGGUUUUAGAUGACAUUGUUUCUUAACACCCGUUGUCAAUAUAUGGGUACCCCAAGCACUGGGGGAUUAAAGGGGACAAGCAAGGAGGCUCGAGCUAUUUGGGGAGCAGGAACUGCCCUCCAGGGAUGGGGUGAGGAGCUUUCAGGGACAGUAUAGUGCUCCUGGAGAGAUUGUGCUGGUGGCUGGGGAAGUUUAGGAGGCAGCGGCGCGAAGCCAGAAAGAUUAUGCAAUGACCCAAUGCAAUAACAAUCUGGAUGUGUUUUGGGCAUUGUAGCAUGUUCGAUGGUUUUAAAAAGCAUGAUAUACAGUCGCCUUGAGUUGGCAGAGUGAGACUGAUUAAAUGAUGAAUGUCAUGGUAGGUACAGAUAAAAUCUUAAAAGCACUCGAAAACGUCACAUUAAAAAAAUUGUAUUUUUGGUCAGGAUGUGAUUUCACAUCUGGCUUGAAAGGGCCACAGAUGUUUGUGGCAUGGGACUGAACUUAUAUGUGCUCAUGCUUUGUGGUGAGAGAAUAUCUGGCCCUCAGCCUGUGGAUUAGUUUAGAGUUUAAUCAUAAAGCCUAGAAUCUGCCUUGUUUCAAUAAAACAAACAAACAAACAAAUGACAACCAAAAUAACAACAAAUCCUUGCUGAAGGCAGGCCAAGGUGAUAAGGCAUCAAAGAAAGGGGUAUGAAAUUUGAUAGGAUGCCUGUGAUGAUCAGGCAUUAAGGGUGGGAAGUUCUUGUGAAACUGCCUCAGCAGGAUUCUUGCUGAAAAGGAGGUAUGCAGGGCCCCUGACGCUUCUGCGGCUGCAUCUCCGCCAAUGUCCUCCCUGGCUCUGGCCCUUCGUACUUCCUCUUUUCUCUGACUUUCGGAAUGUUUUCUUCCUGGGUUCAGUUUGUUGAAGACUUUGCUCAAAUGUCAUUCCCUCUUUAAGGUCUUCUUUCCUGCACCCAGACGGCUUUAUCUAAAAUCAGUCUAUCUGCCCAGCAACGGCUCCAUCCUCCUUCUGCUCAUCCCGGCACGGCAUUUACCUCCUGAAACACACUAGACAUUCUAGUUGUUUAUAUAUAUUGUUUGACUUGCCUCUCAAAAUGUCAACUGCAGAACAGUAAGGAUUUCCAGGUGACUGGCACUGGCCUAGCCUCACUACUCAGGAGAGGAUGCAAUGGGUGACAGACAUUCAGUGAUUAUUGAUCAACUGGCUGGUUGGAUGAAACCCAAAUCCCUGCCCAUUCCAUGGGUGCUGGCUCUGCAAUUCCUGUGCUGUCCCCCUUGGGUUCCCUCGGUGAGAGGCCUCCAUGUGAACACACGCUGAUCCCUUGCCCUUGACGGUGGUGAGCUGGCUUCAUUCACCGGGAGGAAUCUCUCGCACUUUCAUGGUUCUUCCAGUGAUUGAAAGCAGCCAUCAGGAGCACUUCGUCUUCUG
rnacentral:lncRNA from 1 species